ACCCAUCCCUACGGAACAACUCCGGGAAACUGGAGCUAAUACCGUAUACGCCCUUUGGGGGAAAGAUUUAUCGGGGAUGGAUGAGCCCGCGUUGGAUUAGCUAGUUGGUGGGGUAAAGGCCUACCAAGGCGACGAUCCAUAGCUGGUCUGAGAGGAUGAUCAGCCACAUUGGGACUGAGACACGGCCCAAACUCCUACGGGAGGCAGCAGUGGGGAAUAUUGGACAAUGGGCGCAAGCCUGAUCCAGCCAUGCCGCGUGAGUGAUGAAGGCCUUAGGGUUGUAAAGCUCUUUCACCGGAGAAGAUAAUGACGGUAUCCGGAGAAGAAGCCCCGGCUAACUUCGUGCCAGCAGCCGCGGUAAUACGAAGGGGGCUAGCGUUGUUCGGAAUUACUGGGCGUAAAGCGCACGUAGGCGGACAUUUAAGUCAGGGGUGAAAUCCCGGGGCUCAACCUCGGAACUGCCUUUGAUACUGGGUGUCUUGAGUGUGGAAGAGGUAAGUGGAAUUGCGAGUGUAGAGGUGAAA
rnacentral:rRNA from 1 species